UCGUUGAGAACAAUGGGGCCACCAUUUAGGUGUUAGCCUAGGCUAACGGUUAGCCUAGCUGUUAGCCACCUAGCAUGCUAGCUUCGUUGAGAAACACUCAGAAGUAUAUUAGAGCUGAUUAUAGACCUACUAUAUAAGAGGCCAAGACCGGAACAUCUGAAUUAAAAUAACGAUUGUUCCCUAAUACAAUACAUAGCCUAUUGCAUAUUAUGCACUUUAAUGAUUUAAGAUGUCUUUGGUACAUAAUUUGGUCUAUCCUAUUCUCCUACAUUAAAACACACACUAGUAACGGCCUUUGAAUGUGGACUGUAUUAUUAUGCAUACUGGGUGGACUGGUUAAAUGUAUAGGCUUAGGUCAUGUUGCUGCUUCAUUGAUUGUGCAAGGUGGCUUACAAUAAUUAUUACUUACUUAUAAUUAUUGUGAAUUUGUAUUUGAUUUUUAAUUAGCCUGGUAAAAAAAAGGGCUUUUUUUUUUAAUACUUUCAUAAUUAAUCGGCUGACACAUUACCUUUAAUAACUGGAGAAUAUAUCUCACCACUGUGUUUUUCCCAUCUCCUCUCUUCUUCAUUCCUUUCUCAAGGAUGUAGAGAGAGAGAGGUGCUGUCACCAGCUUCAUCCACUAUGUUUCGUUGGUUGGAGGGCCCAUACAGAGUACUGGGUAGCUGCAGGAACAAGGUUGGAGGGCCCAUACAGAGUACUGGGUAGCUGCAGGAACAAGGUUGGAGGGCCCAUACAGAGUACUGGGUAGCUGCAGGAACAAGGUUGGAGGGCCCAUACAGAGUACUGGGUAGCUGCAGGAACAAGGUUGGAGGGCCCAUACAGAGUACUGGGUAGCUGCAGGAACAAGGUUGGAGAGCCCAUACAGAGUACUGGGUAGCUGCAGGAACAAGGUAGGAGAGCCCAUGACAUACAGAGUACUGGGUAGCUACAGGAACAGGGUAGGAGAGCCCAUGGCAUACAGAGUACUGGGUAGCUGAAGGAACAGGGUAGGAGGGCCCAUGGCAUACAGAGUACUGGGUAGCUGCAGGAACAAGGUUGGGAGAGCCCAUACAGAGUACUGGGUAGAUACAGUAACAGGGUAGGAGAGCCCAUACAGAGUACUGGGUAGCUGCAGGAACAGGGUAGGAGAGCCCAUACAGAGCACUGGGUAGAUACAGGAACAGGGUAGGAGUGCCCAUACAGAGUACUGGGUGGAAUAUCACCUGUCGCGCAGCGAGAGGCUGGGUGCUCCUCAAACAGUGGUUGAUUUGUGGAGUGAAAUGUGUUCCCAGACAUUUCUAUAUGGAACCAAGCAGUGUUGAUGGGUGUCACUGAAAAGAGGAUCCCAGCUGCUACGCUGCCAGCUGCUACCCUGCCAGCUGAUACUCUGCCAGCUGCUACGCUGCCAGCUGCUACUCUGCCAGCUGCUACGCUGCCAGCUGCUACGCUGCCAGCUGCUACUCUGCCAGCUGCUACUCUGCCAGCUGCUACCCUGCCUGCUGCUACUCUGCCAGCUUCUACCCUGUCAGCUGCUACCCUGCCAGCUGCUACUCUGCC
rnacentral:lncRNA from 1 species